UGGGGGAUAUUGCACAAUGGGCGAAAGCCUGAUGCAGCGACGCCGCGUGGGGGAUGAAGGCCUUCGGGUUGUACACUUCUUUUGCUCUGAACAAGGCGCACCAUGGGGUGUGUUGAGUGUAGGGGUUGAUUAGCGCCGGCUAACUACGUGCCAGCAGCCGCGGUAAUACGUAGGGCGCGAGCGUUGUCCGGAAUUAUUGGGCGUAAAGGGCUUGUAGGUGGCUGGUUGCGUCUGUCGUGAAAGCUCAUGGCUUAACUGUGGGUUUGCGGUGGGUACGGGCUGGCUUGAGUGCAGUAGGGGAGGGUGGAAUUCCUGGUGUGGCGGUGGAAUGCGCAGAUAUCAGGAGGAAUACCGGUGGCGAAGGCGGGUCUCUGGGCUGUUACUGACACUGAGGAGCGAAAGCAUGGGGAGCGAACAGG
rnacentral:rRNA from 1 species